rnacentral:rRNA from 3 species
GGUGGCGAUAGCGAAGAGGUCACACCCGUUCCCAUGCCGAACACGGAAGUUAAGCUCUUCAGCGCCGAUGGUAGUCGGGGGUUUCCCCCUGUGAGAGUAGGACGCCGCCAAGC